rnacentral:rRNA from 1 species
UACGGAGGGUGCGAGCGUUAAUCGGAAUUACUGGGCGUAAAGCGCAUGCAGGUGGUUUGUUAAGUCAGAUGUGAAAGCCCGGGGCUCAACUUCGGAACUGCAUUUGAAACUGGCAGACUAGAGUACUGUAGAGGGGGGUAGAAUUUCAGGUGUAGCGGUGAAAUGCGUAGAGAUCUGAAGGAAUACCGGUGGCGAAGGCGGCCCCCUGGACAGAUACUGACACUCAGAUGCGAAAGCGUGGGGAGCAAACAGG